rnacentral:rRNA from 1 species
UGAGUGCGAGCGGCUACGGCCGCGAAGUGGGUGAUGUCAAGCUUCCAAGAAAAGCCCUAUACCCGUUAAGGCAUGAUGGCCUGUACCCGAAACCGACACAGGUGGGGUGGUAGAGAAUACCGAGGGGCGCGAGGUAACUCUCUCUAAGGAACUCGGCAAAAUGGCCCCGUAACUUCGGGAGAAGGGGUGCCACCGCAAGGUGGUCGCAGUGAAGAGGCCCAGGCGACUGUUUACCAAAAACACAGGUCUCCGCUAAGUCGCAAGACGAUGUAUGGGGGCUGACGCCUGCCCAGUGCCGGAAGGUUAAGGAAGCUGGUCAGCGCAAGCGAAGCUGGCGACUGAAGCCCCGGUGAACGGCGGCCGUAACUAUAACGGUCCUAAGGUAGCGAAAUUCCUUGUCGGGUAAGUUCCGACCCGCACGAAAGGCGUAACGAUCUGGGCGCUGUCUCGGAGAGAGGCUCGGCGAAAUAGAAUUGUCUGUGAAGAUGCGGACUACGUGCACCCGGACAGAAAGACCCUAUGAAGCUUUACUGUAGCUUGGUAUUGUGCCCGGGCUCUGAAUGCGCAGGAUAGGUGGGAGGCUUUGAUCCAUAGCUUGCGGGUCAUGGUGAGCCAACGGUGAGAUACCACUCUUUCAGAGCUAGGGUUCUAACGGUCACCCGUCAUCCGGGGACCGGACAGUAUCAGGUGGGCAGUUUGACUGGGGCGGUCGCCUCCUAAAAGGUAACGGAGGCGCGCAAAGGUUUGCUCAGGCUGGUUGGAAAUCAGCCGACGAGUGCAAAAGCAGAAGCAAGCUUGACUGUGAGACCUACAAGUCGAACAGGGACGAAAGUCGGCUUUAGUGAUCCGACGGUUCUGAGUGGAAGGGCCGUCGCUCAACGGAUAAAAGUUACUCUAGGAUAACAGGCUGAUCUCCCCCAAGAGUUCACAUCGACGGGGAGGUUUGGCACCUCGAUGUCGGCUCAUCGCAACCUGGGGCUGAAGUCGGUCCCAAGGGUUGGGCUGUUCGCCCAUUAAAGCGGUACGCGAGCUGGGUUCAGAACGUCGUGAGACAGUUCGGUCCAUAUCCGGUGCACGCGCAGGAACAUUGAGAGGAUUUCUCCCUAGUACGAGAGGACCGGGAGGAACGCACCUCUGGUGUGCCAGUUAUCGUGCCAACGGUAAACGCUGGGUAGCCAUGUGCGGAGUGGAUAACCGCUGAAAGCAUCUAAGUGGGAAGCCCACCUCAAGAUGAGUGUUCCCAUGGCAUAAGCCAGUAAGGUCACGGGAAGAACACCCGUUGAUAGGCUCUACGUGGAAGCCGGGUAACCGGUGAAGCGGAGGAGUACUAAUAGACCGAGGGCUUGAC